UUACCGGCGGUCUCUGAUUCGCUUGGUGCAGGUCGGGACCUGGUUCCGCCCGCCGUCGAUGAUUCCUCCCCCUCUUCUCGAUCCAUCCCCGAUUCGAGGACCGCUUCGGGCCGCGGGGGAGCUUCCGACGGGGCUCAGGGGGCCGAAUUGGAUCCCGCCUUGCAUCAACUGAAUCGGAGGCCGAGGUGAAU
rnacentral:pre_miRNA from 1 species